CUAUAUAAAUUAACUUUGUUAUUCUGCUGUGCGGAUUCUCCCGAUGCCAGAGCACCAUCAUCCAGCGAGAACGGCAUGGAACAUCGGGCCUCCGUAGAGGCGACUGCAGAGUCCUCAAUAGGCCCGACUAUGGGUGAACUGGGGAUGGGUCUGGACAUUGUGCCUUCCCACCCAGUGGGAACCAUUUUGCGGGGAUGUUUUUAUGUUUAUUGUUAAAUUUCUUUAAUGUU